AGAAAAGUAAGCUAAUAAAGCUAAUGGGCUCAUACCCCAGAAAUAGGUUAUCCUCUUCUCUA
rnacentral:tRNA from 1 species